UACGAAGGGGGCUAGCGUUGCUCGGAAUCACUGGGCGUAAAGGGUGCGUAGGCGGGUCUUUAAGUCAGGGGUGAAAUCCUGGAGCUCAACUCCAGAACUGCCUUUGAUACUGAGGAUCUUGAGUUCGGGAGAGGUGAGUGGAACUGCGAGUGUAGAGGCGAAAUUCGUAGAUAUUCGCAAGAACACCAGUGGCGAAGGCGGCUCACUGGCCCGAUACUGACGCUGAGGCACGAAAGCGUGGGGAGCAAACAGG
rnacentral:rRNA from 1 species